rnacentral:rRNA from 1 species
GUGGGGAAUCUUGGACAAUGGGCGCAAGCCUGAUCCAGCCAUGCCGCGUGGAUGAUGAAGGCCUUAGGGUUGUAAAAUCCUUUCGUGGGGGACGAUAAUGACGGUACCCCAAGAAGAAGCUCCGGCUAACUUCGUGCCAGCAGCCGCGGUAAUACGAAGGGGGCUAGCGUUGUUCGGAUUUACUGGGCGUAAAGCGCGUGUAGGCGGGUCGUUAAGUUGGGGGUGAAAUCCCGAGGCUCAACCUCGGAACUGCCUUCAAAACUGGCGACCUGGACUCAAGUAGAGGCAAGUGGAAUUGCGAGUGUAGAGGUGAAAUUCGUAGAUAUUCGCAGGAACACCAGUGGCGAAGGCGACUUGCUGGACUUGUAGUGACGCUGAGACGCGAAAGCGUGGGGAGCAAACAGGAUUAGAAACCCGAGUAGUCC